GUGGGGAAUUUUGGACAAUGGGCGAAAGCCUGAUCCAGCCAUGCCGCGUGCAGGAUGAAGGCCUUCGGGUUGUAAACUGCUUUUGUACGGAACGAAAAGACUCCUUCUAAUAAAGGGGGUCCAUGACGGUACCGUAAGAAUAAGCACCGGCUAACUACGUGCCAGCAGCCGCGGUAAUACGUAGGGUGCAAGCGUUAAUCGGAAUUACUGGGCGUAAAGCGUGCGCAGGCGGUUAUAUAAGACAGAUGUGAAAUCCCCGGGCUCAACCUGGGAACUGCAUUUGUGACUGUAUAGCUAGAGUACGGUAGAGGGGGAUGGAAUUCCGCGUGUAGCAGUGAAAUGCGUAGAUAUGCGGAGGAACACCGAAGGCGAAGGCAAUCCCCUGGACCUGUACUGACGCUCAUGCACGAAAGCGUGGGGAGCAAACAGGAUUAGAUACCCCGGUAGUCC
rnacentral:rRNA from 1 species